UUAAUAAAUAAAUAAAUUUAAUAAUUUAAUAUUGUACCGAGAGUAAAUAAAUAUAAAUAAUUUGUUAUUUACCUUUUGCAUAAUGGUUAAACUAUUAACAUUUAAAAUAAAAUUUCCCGAAGUUAAAAGAUCUAAAUUAACUAUUUUUCGUAGAUGUAGAUUAAAUUAAUGUUUCAAAAUUAAUAUUAAAUACUAAUUUAGUGGUGAAAGGCCUAUCAAUUUUAAAGAUAUCUGGAUUAGCUUUAAAUGUAUUAAGUACAGAAUAAAUUUUGAGUUAAAAAAUGUUGAGAUUUUUUAAAUAAGUUGUAUUUUUGGUGAGUUGAUUGUAUUAAGGAUAAGUCCUAAAUAAAUUAAUUUAAUAAAAAUUAAUAGCAAAUUUUUAAUCUUGUGAAUAAAGUUAUAUUUUAAAAAUUAGAUACUUCAAAAUUAAUAAUGUUUAAAUUAGUAUUAUCUUUAUAUAAAAUUAAGGAACUCGGCAAAUAAUCUUAUUCAACUGUUUAUCAAAAACAUAGCGUUAUGAAUUAAUAUAAGGUGAAACCUGCCCUAUGAUAAUUUAAAUGGCCGCAGUACUUUGACUGUGCUAAGGUAGCAUAAUAAAUUGACUUUUAAUUGGGGCCUUGAAUGAAAGGUAAUAUGAAUAAUUACUGUCUUAAUUUUAAUAAUAAUAAGUUACUUAUAAGAUGAAAAUUUCUUAAAGUUAAUUUAAAAGACGAGAAGACCCUAGGAGUUUAUACAUUUAUAAUGUUUUGUUGGGGCGACACUACAACAUAUCAACUUGUAGAAAACACUUAAAUUUAUAAAACGAAAAUUUUUAAUUAUACUUAAGCUACCCUAGGGAUAACAGCAUAAUUUAAUUUUAAGUUUGUGACCUCGAUGUUGGACUAGGGACUUUUAGUAUUAACAAUAUUAAAAAUUUGUUCUGUUCGAACUUUGUUCCCUACAUGAUCUGAGUUCAGACCGGCGUAAGCCAGGUCAGUUUCUAUCUUUUUAGUUUUUUAUGUUAGUACGAAAGGACCACAUAAAAUAAUAUUAUAUUUUUAACUUGGCAGAUAAAUGCAUU
rnacentral:rRNA from 1 species